UACGAAGGGGGCUAGCGUUGCUCGGAAUCACUGGGCGUAAAGGGUGCGUAGGCGGGUUUUUAAGUCAGGGGUGAAAUCCUGGAGCUCAACUCCAGAACUGCCUUUGAUACUGAAAGUCUUGAGUAUGGGAGAGGUGAGUGGAACUGCGAGUGUAGAGGUGAAAUUCGUAGAUAUUCGCAAGAACACCAGUGGCGAAGGCGGCUGUCUGGUCCGGUUCUGACGCUGAGGCGCGAAAGCGUGGGGAGCAAACAGG
rnacentral:rRNA from 1 species